GGGCCCGUAGCCCAGAUCGGAUUAAGGCGCCGAGCUGUCUAGCCGGAGAUCCGGGGUUCAAAUCCCCGCGGGCCCGCCA
rnacentral:tRNA from 1 species